rnacentral:rRNA from 1 species
GACGACCGCUGGCGGCGUGCUUAACACAUGCAAGUCGAACGGAAAGGCCCUGCUUUUGUGGGGUGCUCGAGUGGCGAACGGGUGAGUAACACGUGAGUAACCUGCCCUUGACUUUGGGUUAACUUCAGGAAACUGGGGCUAAUACCGGAUAGGAGCUCCUGCUGCAUGGUGGGGGUUGGAAAGUUUCGGCGGUUGGGGAUGGACUCGCGGCUUUUCAGCUUGUUGGUGGGGUGGUGGCUUACCAAGGCUUUGACGGGUGGCGGGCCUGGGAGGGUGACCGGCCACAUUGGGGCUGGGGUACGGCCCAGGCUCCUACGGGGGGCAGCAGUGGGGAAUUAUGCACAAUGGGCGGAAGCCUGAUGCAGCAACGCCGCGGGCGGGAUGACGGCCUUCGGGGUGUAAACCGCUUUCGCCUGUUACGAAGCGUGAGGGACGGUAAUGGGUAAAGAAGCACCGGCUAACUACGUG